rnacentral:piRNA from 1 species
CGCCCGAGCCCACUCCAUUCAGAUCAUGAAGG